AGCAGCCGCGGUAAUUCCAGCUCCAAUAGCGUAUAUUAAAGUUGUUGCAGUUAAAAAGCUCGUAGUUGAAUUUCGGGGUCAGUAGGUUGGUCGUGCCACCGGUACGUACUGGUCUCACUGAUUCCUCCUUCCUGAUGAGCUGUAAUGCCAUUAAUUUGGUGUUGCAGGGAAUCUGGACUGUUACUUUGAAAAAAUUAGAGUGUUUAAAGCAGGCUAACGCUUGAAUACAUUAGCAUGGAAUAAUGAAAUAGGACGUUCGAUCCUAUUUUGUUGGUUUCUAGGAUUGACGUAAUGAUUAAUAGGGAUAGUUGGGGGCAUUAGUAUUCAAUUGUCAGAGGUGAAAUUCUUGGAUUUAUUGAAGACUAACUACUGCGAAAGCAUUUGCCAAGGAUGUUUUCAUUAAUCAAGAACGAAAGUUAGGGGAUCGAAGACGAUCAGAUACCGUCGUAGUCUUAACCAUAAACUAUGCCGACUAGGGAUCGGAUGAUGUUAAUUUUUAAUGA
rnacentral:rRNA from 1 species